rnacentral:rRNA from 1 species
UGGCUCCUACCGAUACCGGGUGAUCCGGUGAACCUUUUGGACCGCCCUCGCGGAAAAAUAAGUAAACCAUAUCACCUAGAGGAAGGAGAAGUCGUAACAAGGUUUCCGUAGGUGAACCUGCGGAAGGAUCAUUCACAAAAUUUGAACUAAUAACUAACUGAAUUACAUAGUGAGCAWUCACUAUAUCUGAACUAUUCUUUCAAAAACAUAAACUAUUUCUAUGGUUGAAUAUCAAUCUAAAUUUUCAACGAUGGAUGUCUUGGCUCCCAUAUCGAUGAAGAACGCAGCAAGAAUGCGAUAUGCAAUGUGAAUUGCAGAACCAUGAAUCAUCGGAUAUUCUAACGCAACUGGCACUGGAUUAAACCAGUAUACUUGUUUCAGUGUGCGUAACCAAUUCAAUAAACAAGAUGUAAGAGAAGAUCUCUUAUGAAAUAAAUGCUCUAUGUAGCAGUCACAAUAUUUUGUGAAUAUACAUUGAGAWAUUUUAAUUUGCACCUGAAAUCAAGUAAGAUGACCCGCUGAACUUAAGCAUAUAAAACAAUGAAU